CUUAGUAACCGUGGAAUCCCCCUGAGCUCAGGAACCAGGCGCCUGGGCGGGCAGAAUGACAUCUGGGAACAGUUGGAGGGGGAGGGCGGGCUCUCCCCACAGUCCCUGGCACACCCCCGUCGCGACGCGCCCGUGACACCUUGCGGAGCCUGCGGCUCAGCCCAUUCUCGCCCGCUAAGCCGCGCGGAUCGCUGGGCGAGGGCCCGGCACUGAGCACCUUGCUAGGAGCCGUGGGGGCGGGGGGCCGGCAUCAGGGUUUCACCCAGUCAAGGGAGAGCCAGAUGACUGGAAAGAAGACAAGAUGAGAACAGGCCAGAGCUGGGUUGAACCCGGCCAGUGCCACCACCUAGCUGUGUCACCCCAGCCAAUUUUUUAACGUCUCCCAUGCUCCGUCCUUCCUUCAUUCCCCAGCACUGACUGAGCACCUCCAGCCUCAUCGUGACGGGUGCUCCAGGAAUUCUGGAAAGGCUUUAUGUGGGAUCCUUCUCAACUAGAAGCUUGGUGUUCUGCCCUUCCUUUCAUAACUUCCGGGCCAGGAUACUGGUCACCAAUAUGCAUUCAUUUAAGAUUUAUACUAGUUGAGUGCUGAGAUGAUUUGAGGCACCUUUCAGAUUAAAAAGUAAAAAUUACAGCAUUGAAGAAUAAAGCAGAACUGACUCCUUCUAAAGAACCCAGAAAGAGUUGCUACUCUCAGGCACCUGAAUUGGUCAGAACACACGGAGGUAAUAAGGUAAUAAA